rnacentral:pre_miRNA from 1 species
GUUCGAAUCUCCAAAGGGUCUUGUUAAAAGGUGAGCUUUGAUUCAUUAGGUCUUGGGAGGGACCUGAGAUUCCAUUUUUGACAAGCUCCCAGGUGAUGCUGCU